AGAGUUUGAUCCUGGCUCAGGAUGAACGCUGGCGGCGUGCUUAACACAUGCAAGUCGAACGAAGCACUUAAGAUUGAUUCUUCGGAUGAAGUCUUUUGUGACUGAGUGGCGGACGGGUGAGUAACGCGUGGGUAACCUGCCUCAUACAGGGGGAUAACAGUUAGAAAUGACUGCUAAUACCGCAUAAGCGCACGGUGUCGCAUGACACAGUGUGAAAAACUCCGGUGGUAUGAGAUGGACCCGCGUCUGAUUAGCUAGUUGGUGAGGUAACGGCCCACCAAGGCGACGAUCAGUAGCCGACCUGAGAGGGUGAUCGGCCACAUUGGGACUGAGACACGGCCCAAACUCCUACGGGAGGCAGCAGUGGGGAAUAUUGCACAAUGGGGGAAACCCUGAUGCAGCGACGCCGCGUGAAGGAAGAAGUAUUUCGGUAUGUAAACUUCUAUCAGCAGGGAAGAAAAUGACGGUACCUGACUAAGAAGCCCCGGCUAACUACGUGCCAGCAGCCGCGGUAAUACGUAGGGGGCAAGCGUUAUCCGGAUUUACUGGGUGUAAAGGGAGCGUAGGCGGUCUGACAAGUCAGAAGUGAAAGCCCGGGGCUCAACUCCGGGACUGCUUUUGAAACUGCCGGACUAGAUUGCAGGAGAGGUAAGUGGAAUUCCUAGUGUAGCGGUGAAAUGCGUAGAUAUAUGGAGGAACACCGGUGGCGAAAGCGGCUCUCUGGUCUGUAACUGACGCUGAGGCUCGAAAGCGUGGGGAGCGAACAGGAUUAGAUACCCUGGUAGUCCACGCCGUAAACGAUGAGUGCUAGGUGUUGGAUCCUUUCCGGGAUUCAGUGCCGCAGCUAACGCAUUAAGCACUCCGCCUGGGGAGUACGACCGCAAGGUUGAAACUCAAAGGAAUUGACGGGGGCCCGCACAAGCGGUGGAGCAUGUGGUUUAAUUCGAAGCAACGCGAAGAACCUUACCAGGUCUUGACAUCCCGAUGCUAUUUCUAGAGAUAGAAAGUUACUUCGGUACAUCGGUGACAGGUGGUGCAUGGUUGUCGUCAGCUCGUGUCGUGAGAUGUUGGGUUAAGUCCCGCGACGAGCGCAACCCCUAUUGUUAGUUGCCAUCAUUCAGUUGGGCACUCUAGCGAGACUGCCGGUAAUAAACCGGAGGAAGGUGGGGAUGACGUCAAAUCAUCACGCCCCUUAUGACCUGGGCUACACACGUGCUACAAUGGUUGGUACAACGAGUUGCGAGUCGGUGACGGCAAGCUAAUCUCUUAAAGCCAAUCUCAGUUCGGAUUGUAGGCUGCAACUCGCCUACAUGAAGUCGGAAUCGCUAGUAAUCGCGGAUCAGCACGCCGCGGUGAAUACGUUCCCGGGCCUUGUACACACCGCCCGUCACACCACGAGAGUUUGUAACACCCGAAGUCGGUGAGGUAACCUUUUGGAGCCAGCCGCCUAAGGUGGGAUAGAUGAUUGGGGUGAAGUCGUAACAAGGUA
rnacentral:rRNA from 1 species